GAUGAACGCUGGCGGCGUGCCUAAUACAUGCAAGUCGAGCGAACAGACGAGGAGCUUGCUACUCUGACGUUAGCGGGGGACGGGAGAGGAACACGUGGAGAACCUCCCUAUAAGACUGGGAUCACUUAGGGAAACCGGUGCUAAUACCGGACAAUAUAUUCAACAGCAUGGUGCAAUAGGGAAAGACGGUGUUGCAGUCACUUAUAGCUGGUUCGGCGCCGCGUUGGCUAAUUGGUAAGGUAACGGUUUACCAAGGCAACGCUGCGUAGCCGACCUGUGAGGGUCAUCGGCCACACUGGAACUGCGCCGCGGUCCAGACUCCUACGGGAGGCAGCCGUAGGGAAUCUUCCGCGAUGGUCGAAAGCCGGACGGAGGACCGCCGCGGGAGUGAUGAAGGUCUUAUGACCGUAAAACGCUUGUAUUAGUGAAGAAGAAAUGUGUAAGUAACCAGUCACGUCGUGACGGUACCUACAGAGAAAGACACGGCUAACUACGUG
rnacentral:rRNA from 1 species